rnacentral:rRNA from 1 species
GACGAACGCUGGCGGCGUGCCUAAUACAUGCAAGUCGAACGCACGAAGUUGAAGAGCUUGCUCUUUAACCAAGUGAGUGGCGGACGGGUGAGUAACACGUGGGUAACCUGCCCAUUAGAGGGGGAUAACAUUCGGAAACGGAUGCUAAUACCGCAUAGUUUCAGGAAUCGCAUGAUUCUUGAAGGAAAGGUGGCUUCGGCUACCACUAAUGGAUGGACCCGCGGCGUAUUAGCUAGUUGGUGAGGUAAUGGCUCACCAAGGCAAUGAUACGUAGCCGACCUGAGAGGGUGAUCGGCCACACUGGGACUGAGACACGGCCCAGACUCCUACGGGAGGCAGCAGUAGGGAAUCUUCCGCAAUGGACGAAAGUCUGACGGAGCAACGCCGCGUGAGUGAAGAAGGUUUUCGGAUCGUAAAACUCUGUUGUUAAAGAAGAACAAGGAUGAGAGUAACUGCUCAUCCCCUGACGGUAUUUAACCAGAAAGCCACGGCUAACUACGUGCCAGCAGCCGCGGUAAUACGUAGGUGGCAAGCGUUGUCCGGAUUUAUUGGGCGUAAAGCGAGCGCAGGCGGUUCUUUAAGUCUGAUGUGAAAGCCCCCGGCUCAACCGGGGAGGGUCAUUGGGAAACUGGAGAACUUUGAGUGCAGAAGAGGGAGAGUGGAAUUCCACGUGUAGCGGUGAAAUGCGUAGAUAUAUGGAGGGACACCAGUGGCGGAAGGCGACUCUCUGGUCUGUAACCGACGCUGAGGCUCAAAAGCAUGGGGAGCAAACAGG